rnacentral:rRNA from 1 species
UGAGGAAUAUUGCGCAAUGGGGGAAACCCUGACGCAGCAACGCCGCGUGGGUGAAGAAGGCCUUCGGGUUGUAAAGCCCUGUCAGGUGGGAAGAACCCUCUGCAGACGAAUAAUCUGUGGAACUGACGGUACCACCGAAGGAAGCACCGGCUAACUCCGUGCCAGCAGCCGCGGUAAGACGGAGGGUGCAAGCGUUGUUCGGAAUUACUGGGCGUAAAGCGCGUGUAGGCGGUUCUACAAGUCGAGUGUGAAAGCCCGGGGCUCAACCUCGGAAGUGCACUCGAAACUGUAGGGCUUGAGUACGGGAGAGGGAAGUGGAAUUCCUGGUGUAGAGGUGAAAUUCGUAGAUAUCAGGAGGAACACCGGUGGCGAAGGCGGCUUCCUGGACCGAUACUGACGCUGAGACGCGAAAGCGUGGGGAGCAAACAGGAUUAGAUACCCCCGUAGUCC